GACGAACGCUGGCGGCGUGCUUAACACAUGCAAGUCGAACGGUGAAAGCGGAGCUUGCUCCGCUGGAUCAGUGGCGAACGGGUGAGUAACACGUGGGCAACCUGCCCCUCACUUCGGGAUAACUCCGGGAAACCGGGGCUAAUACCGGAUAUGACCUCCUUGGGCAUCCUUGGAGGUGGAAAGUUUGUCGGUGAGGGAUGGGCCCGCGGCCUAUCAGCUUGUUGGUGAGGUAGUGGCUCACCAAGGCGACGACGGGUAGUCGGCCUGAGAGGGCGACCGGCCACACUGGGACUGAGACACGGCCCAGACUCCUACGGGAGGCAGCAGUGGGGAAUAUUGCGCAAUGGGCGAAAGCCUGACGCAGCAACGCCGCGUGCGGGAUGACGGCCUUCGGGUUGUAAACCGCUUUCAGCAGGGAAGAAGCCGCAAGGUGACGGUACCUGCAGAAGAAGCACCGGCUAACUACGUGCCAGCCGCCGCAGUAAUAC
rnacentral:rRNA from 1 species